CGUUUGUAGGUGAGGGGAUUUGUCGGCGUGCCCGGGGAUUUGUCGGCGUAGGUGAGGGGAUUUGUCGGCGUGCCCGGGGAACGUGUAAUCCGAGGCGUGACAGGAGUGGUUGUAACCAUGAUUAUGGAAGUUACGCCCACUCCUCGUGAAAGUUACGCCUCCACUUUUCAGCCGUUCCCGUCUAAACACUCUUGACUUUCAUGCGCUUUAUUGCCGACUCCUAGUGUACCACGUGUCCUUAUUUCUUUAGCUCAUACGUAGGCUAAGUCGGCGUGUUAAUUUCAAUUUUGGCAUC
rnacentral:lncRNA from 1 species